rnacentral:miRNA from 1 species
GCAGACACAUUCCAGCCAAUCAGCAGCAGACCCUCCCUCCCAGACCCUGCCACCUCCUGGACAGCAUCCAUUUUGAAGCUGCAUUCUUAGUGAGCUGUCCAGGAGGUGGGAGGGUCUGGGAGGGAGGGUCUGCUGCUGAUUGGCUGGAAUGCAUCUG